rnacentral:rRNA from 1 species
AGAACGAACGCUGGCGGCAGGCUUAACACAUGCAAGUCGAACGCACCGCAAGGUGAGUGGCGGACGGGUGAGUAACGCGUGGGAACGUGCCCUGAGGUUGGGAAUAACUGCGGGAAACUGCAGCUAAUACCCGAUAAGCCCCUAGCAAUAGGGGGAAAGAUUUAUCGCCUUAGGAGCGGCCCGCGUCGGAUUAGCUAGUUGGUGGGGUAACGGCCUACCAAGGCUUCGAUCCGUAGCUGGUCUGAGAGGACGAUCAGCCACACUGGGACUGAGACACGGCCCAGACUCCUACGGGAGGCAGCAGUGGGAAUCUGCGCAAUGGGCGAAAGCCUGACGCAGCCAUGCCGCGUGAACGAUGAAGGCCUUAGGGUUGUAAAGUUCUUUACCGUGACGAUGAUGACGGUAACGGAGAAUAAGCUCCGGCUAACUUCGUGCCAGCAGCCGC